AACGAACGUUGGCGGCGCGCCUAACACAUGCAAGUCGCACGAGAAAGGGAGCAAUCCCCGGUACAGUGGCGCACGGGUGAGUAACACGUGGAUAAUCUUCCCUUGGGCGGGGGAUAACCUUCCGAAAGGAGGGCUAAUACCGUAUAAGACCACAGCGAGUUCGCUCGCAGGGGUCAAAGCUGGCCUCUUCAUGAAAGCUAGCACCUAAGGAUGAGACCGCGUCCCAUCAGCUAGUUGGUAGUGUAAAAGACUACCAAGGCGAAGACGGGUAGCUGGUCUGAGAGGAUGAUCAGCCACACUGGAACUGAGACACGGUCCAGACUCCUACGGGAGGCAGCAGUGGGGAAUCUUGCGCAAUGGGCGAAAGCCUGACGCAGCGACGCCGCGUGGGUGAUGAAGGCCCUCGGGUUGUAAAGCCCUGUGGGGAGGGACGAAUAAGUCGUGGCUAAUAUCCACGAUGAUGACGGUACCUCCUUAGCAAGCACCGGCUAACUCUGUGCCAGCCGCCGCCGUAA
rnacentral:rRNA from 1 species